rnacentral:siRNA from 1 species
UUGUCUACAAUAGCAACAUAGA